AUUGCAGAAAAGCUGCUGGUAUUGGAAGAAUGGUCUUUAUCGUCGGCUAACAGAGCGGGCUGCUUGUUAGUGGGUUACGAGGCAUUCCGUACACUUGUCUUUUAUCACUCAUAUAAAUAUCGAGGGAACGUGACUUCAUCAAAAUUAGAAAAUGUUCGAGAUAAAGUUCAUAAAUACCUAUUGCAGCCUGGUGCAGAUUUAGUCGUUUGUGAUGAAGGACAUAUUAUUAAAAAUAGCAAAUCUGCCAUAAGUCUUGCCGUAUCAAAAAUAAAAACGCCAAAACGUAUAAUACUAACCGGAACGCCUAUACAAAAUAAUCUUAAAGAAUGUAAGUUUUUCGUGAUAACACUGUGCGACAAAUGGUAAACUUUUGAAUGUACUUUGUACGAGACAAAUAUUAGGUUAUAGGCCAAGAUGAGAAGAUCACUUCCUCCAAAUUA